CUCGCUUCCGUUCCGCUGAGCACCUCGGCGCGGAUGAAGGAGCACGAUGCAUCAAACGUGAACAAGCCGCAGGGCCCAGAAGGUGGUAUGUGGGCUGCAGGCGCCGGAUCGGCCUGGCCUCCUGCCCGCCCUUCCUGCCCGCCUCGCAGCCUCGCUGGCGGAGGAUCAAACAGCGCAGACGCGGCACAGGAAGCGGAGCCGCGGGCAGGGGCUUCCUCCACCCUCACGGCUCUCCAGCAGGAAAGCCGCUCCGGGAGGGCCAGGAACUGACCGCGAAUCAGCCUUUCUCGGUGAUAAGCGGCCUCAUGCCAGCGAGGUUCACACCUCCUUGCCUUGUUACUUUGGGGACCCUCUCACUCCAGCUCUGGGCUUGGCCACGUGAUUUGCUUUGGCUGCUGGACUGUGAGCAUGUGUCGUAAGUAAAGGGGCUCGAGAAGCUUGCCCAGGGCAGCUGGUCCUCUCUUGCUGCUCACGGAACUCUGCUUCUGUGUGAAGAAGCCUGGGCUAGACUCCUGCAUGAGAGAACCAUGGCCCAGUUGCAUCUGUUGCUCGGUUGCAAACCUGCCAAUUGCCAGACAUGUGGAUGAGGCAUUCUAGAACAUCCAGGCACUAGCCAAACCACCACUGACCAAAGGCUCACAAGAAAGCCCAGGAGAGAUCAGAUCCGUUCUCUCCUGUUGCUGAAGGGGCCCCAGGUGUGUAGCCCUGGACACACCCAAUCCUUGUUUAUGGCACUCAGCACACACCAUGCAAGACCCUCUCCUCCUGUCCCCCUCCCGCCUCCCUUC